CCCUAAUACCGGAUACGCUCUUUUUAACAUAAGUUAGAAAGAAGAAAGAUGGCCUCUCCUUGGAAGCUAUUGCUUGAAGAUGAGUUUGCGUACCAUUAGCUAGUUGGUGGGGUAAGAGCCUACCAAGGCCACGAUGGUUAGCGGGUCUGAGAGGAUGAUCCGCCACACUGGAACUGAAACACGGACCAGACUCCUACGGGAGGCAGCAGUGAGGAAUUUUGCGCAAUGGGGGAAACCCUGACGCAGCGACGUCGCGUGGACGAUGAAGGCCUUAGGGUUGUAAAGUCCUGUCAGAAGGGAAGAAAUGCAUAUAGGCUAAUACCUUAUAUGUUUGACGGUACCUUCAAAGGAAGCACCGGCUAACUCCGUGCCAGCAGCCGCGGUAAUACGGAGGGUGCAAGCGUUAAUCGGAAUUACUGGGCGUAAAGGGCGCGUAGGCGGCCUGUCAAGUCAGAUG
rnacentral:rRNA from 1 species